GGAACUCCUCACAGCGGAUGCCAACGUGGGACCAUCAUAUGGCAGGAAGGCUCUCCCUUAUCUCUGCUUCAUCAGUAUAAAAGAGCAUUGCUUAUCACUGCUCUGGCCUCAUCUUCCUUUGCCUCCACUUUGUUUUAUUUUUUGUUUGUUUGUUGCUUUUAUAAUGUCAACUCCCUUUGAUUUUACUGCAGUUACCACAGAGUACUGCCAUAUGAUUGAUACUCAGUCAAAAUGACAAAGCUUACCUUGUAUGCAUUCUUCAGAUGAUCAUAAUAGACUUCCUCAAUAGCUUGAAAAUAAAUUACACCUUUUAAUUUAGUUUCGUGUUUGUCUGCGUAAUACGUAAAAGUUCUCUUGUUUCUGUCAAAAACAAACCAUCGUUUUUUCCAUGUUUUAAUUUUUCCUCCCAUCUUAAUCAGAAAGCCUCGGCAGGUCUUCUCUGUGAGGGAGACGUGGUAACAGGUCUCUAUGUUGUGACCAGCUGUUUCAAUAUGACUUCGUAGAUCAAAGUCUUCCUUUCUAAUGGGCAAAUAGCGAGUCAAUGGACGAGCCUGUGCUCUUUGUUUCUCUCGUAUCUUCACUUCCUUUUCAAUUAGUUUUUGCCUUUGGCUAGUUUCUUCUUCCAGUCUUUUUUCCAGUUGUUCUCUACGGCGUUUCUCUUCUUCCAGAGCUCGCUUUUUAGCUUCCAUCUCCCGUUCCCUGGACUCAAGCAGCC
rnacentral:lncRNA from 1 species